UGGGGAAUUUUGGACAAUGGGCGAAAGCCUGAUCCAGCAAUGCCGCGUGUGUGAAGAAGGCCUUCGGGUUGUAAAGCACUUUUGUCCGGAAAGAAAUCCUUGGCUCUAAUACAGUCGGGGGAUGACGGUACCGGAAGAAUAAGCACCGGCUAACUACGUGCCAGCAGCCGCGGUAAUACGUAGGGUGCAAGCGUUAAUCGGAAUUACUGGGCGUAAAGCGUGCGCAGGCGGUUUGCUAAGACCGAUGUGAAAUCCCCGGGCUCAACCUGGGAACUGCAUUGGUGACUGGCAGGCUAGAGUAUGGCAGAGGGGGGUAGAAUUCCACGUGUAGCAGUGAAAUGCGUAGAGAUGUGGAGGAAUACCGAUGGCGAAGGCAGCCCCCUGGGCCAAUACUGACGCUCAUGCACGAAAGCGUGGGGAGCAAACAGGAUUAGAUACCCUGGUAGUCCACGCCCUAAACGAUGUCAACUAGUUGUUGGGGGAUUCAUUUCCUUAGUAACGUAGCUAACGCGUGAAGUUGACC
rnacentral:rRNA from 1 species